rnacentral:rRNA from 1 species
UGAGGAANAUUGGUCAAUGGGCGAGAGCCUGAACCAGCCAAGUAGCGUGCAGGAUGACGGCCCCAUGGGUUGUAAACUGCUUUUGUAUGGGGAUAAAGUCAAUCACGUGUGAUUGUUUGCAGGUACCAUACGAAUAAGGACCGGCUAAUUCCGUGCCAGCAGCCGCGGUAAUACGGAAGGUCCGGGCGUUAUCCGGAUUUAUUGGGUUUAAAGGGAGCGUAGGCUGGAGAUUAAGUGUGUUGUGAAAUGUAGACGCUCAACGUCUGACUUGCAGCGCAUACUGGUUUCCUUGAGUACGCACAACGUUGGCGGAAUUCGUCGUGUAGCGGUGAAAUGCUUAGAUAUGACGAAGAACUCCGAUUGCGAAGGCAGCUGACGGGAGCGCAACUGACGCUGAAGCUCGAAGGUGCGGGUAUCGAACAGGAUUAGAUACCCUGGUAGUCCGCACAGUANCGAUGGANGCCCGCUGUUGGUACCUGGUAUCANCGGCUAAGCGAAAGCAUUAAGCAUCCCACCUGGGGAGUACNCCGGCNACGGU